AAACAAUGCAUGAAAACAGCUGAGGUUGCUGUGAAAGAGCAAGCUGGGGGAUGAGUGCCAGUUCAGCUGCUUUGUUGCAUCUCUGCACCUGCACAGAGCAGAGUAGGGCAGCUGCGGACAGGGUGCAUCUGUGCGUGUGAGGUCAAGGUCACUGAUCCUUGUUCACAUGAAUCAUUCUCAGCGCUCAUGAAAAACACCCCUGAG
rnacentral:lncRNA from 12 species